rnacentral:sRNA from 1 species
GGGAGCUUUCAUGUGGCCGACCAACUCUACUCCUUGACUCCUCCCUUCUCUCAUUGAAAAAAAAUGUUUAAGGGGACAUUUCUCUCUCCUAAACUUUUUAUGUUCCAUUGAAGACCUGGAAAACAUGUUAAAUAAAAAUGCUUUGCCACAGCUGACCUAUGUCUUCUGGCUUGUACCCCACAACAUCUUAUCUAAUGGGACAGAAUAACGGGCUCCCAGAUUCACAAGCCCCACCAAGAGGAUCACCCCAGGAAUGCUUGGAGGCUGAGGAGUUCACUGAGGCUACUGCAUCUUGAGACUCAGGAUGAAGACCCAGCUUGGGGCUGUCAAAGGUUUUUUGCAUGUCUGACACCCAUGACUCCACCUGGACCUUAUGGCUCCACCCAGAAGCAAUUCAGCCCAACAGGAGGACAGCUUCAACCCAUUACGAUUUCAUCUCUGCCCCAACCACUCAGCAGCAAGCACCUGUUACCUGUCCAUCCCCACCCCUUCCCCCAAACUGCCUUUGAAAAAUCCCUAACCUAUGAGCUUUGAAUAAGAUGAGUACGAACUUCAUCGCCCAUGUGGCGUGGCCGGCCUCGUGUCUAUUAAAUUCUUUUUCUACUACAA